AUCCAAUACCCCACUCAAGUCCUUUUUUGGAGCCCCCAGAGAAUCUUCAUAGGGGUAGUGCAAUCCCCAUUCAAAUUGGCACAGAGUUUACACACCUAGAGCCGGGACCCAUAGGCUCAGGACCAGGUGAGCACCACAUUUACUAAUAUAUAUGUGUGCUUUUAUGACCACAAUCUACACAUUGGUUCGCUCUCCCUCUGUUUUUG